rnacentral:rRNA from 1 species
CCCUUAGAUGUUCUGGGCCGCACGCGCGCUAAACUGAUGCAUUCAACGAGUGUACCUUGGCCGAGAGGCCUGGGCAAUCUUUUGAACGUGCAUCGUGAUAGGGAUAGAUUAUUGCAAUUAUUAAUCUUGAACGAGGAAUUCCUAGUAAACGCAGAUCAUCAAUCUGCAUUGAUUACGUCCCUGCCCUUUGUACACACCGCCCGUCGCACCUACCGAUUGGAUGGUCCGGUGAAGCCUCGGGAUUGUGGCGGUUGCCUUUAUUGGUGGCCGCCGCGAGAACUUGUCUAAACCUUAUCAUCUAGAGGAAGGUGAAGUCGUAACA